CCCACGUGAGGUUGGAGAGUGGAUUUCUAGUGAUUCCAGGAGGAGGGCUGGGGAAUCGCUUCCCGGGAUCGGACGGAACGGCGGGGUUGGAGCCACAGCUUCUCACCUGCCAACGCAACGUUUGGAAGUCCGGAUAAUUACCUCCUGUCCGACUGCACUACGCAACUCCAACACACAGAAUUAGGGUUUUUCACUGCUCUUUCCUUCCCGCCCUCGUUAACCUGGUCCAUCCUAGAUUGAAUACCGCAUCAAUACGUCGCAUUAGGCACAUUCGAUCAGUGAAGGGAGGCCAUAUCGUAGUCUCGAAGCCUUAGCGCCGCCCCGGUUAAUCACUAGUUGGGGCUAUUCUGACACUUGCCUUUCAUUUUCCUUUUGUUUUCUUUCGUUUCUUUUGUAAGCUUUGUAGCAGUAAGCAAUGGAAGAGGGGAAAAGUAAAUCUAGGAGAGACGAUUUGGAGAACCCAAAGAAGAGUCAUCGGGACCGCGACAGGGAAAGGGAUAAAGAGAGAAACGGUGAUAGAGGCAGAGACAAGGAGAAGAGAGAUCGUGAGAGUCGACGUUCUGAGAAGGAAAAGAGUGUCGAUUCUGAAGAGCAGCAGUAUGAGAGGGAGAAGGAAAAACUUAGAAGGGACAAGGAUAAAACACGGAGUCGGGAUGAUGAAAGAGAUAGAGCUAGGGUUAGGAGGAAGGAUAGAGAUAAGGAAAGGGACAAGGACAAAGAAGAUAGGGGGAGGGAGAGAACGAGGGACAAGGAGAAGGAGAGGGACAAGGAGAAGGAGAGAGACAAGGAGAAAGAGAGAGACAAGGAGAAGGAUAGAGAAAAGGAGAAGAGGGAAAGGGCAAGGGAAAAAGAGAGAGAGAAGAGAGAACGCAUCAAAGAAGAUCGUGAGAGGGACAGAGACAGAGAGAGGGAGAUGAGAGAACGUGAGAGAGAGAGGGAAAAGGAAAGAGAGAAGGAUAGAAGGAAGCGACGGGAAGUUAGCGAUUAUAGUGAUGAUGACUCUACUGACCAUGGUAGGAAGCGACGUAGGAGAGACGAUGAGGACCAUAGAGCUCAUGAAAGCAAUAGCAGGAUAAAUAAGCAGAGAGAUCACAGUGAAGAGAGUCCACGAGAGAAGAGUGAAGAAGAUGCAACUGAUAAGAAUGAAACAAAACCAACUCGUGAAGAGGAGCUGGAAAAUGAACAAAGGAGGUUGGAUGAAGAAAUGGAAAAACGAAGGCGAAGAGUUCAGGAGUGGCAAAAGUCACGAAGAUUGAAGGAAGAAGCUGAUGGAGAUAAGCAGGGCGAACCGAAUGCUGAUGAACCGAAAUCUGGCAAGACAUGGACCCUUGAAGGUGAGUCUGAUGAUGAGUAUGAGAAUGCGAGACCCACCGAGGCAGAUAUGGAUGUGGAUGAAAAUUCUAAGCCGCUUGUAGAAGGUGAGCAGGUUGCAGAUGACUUCAACAAUGGCAACGAAGCAGCUGGACCUCCACCGCAAGAUAGCAGUAAUGGUGAUGCAGGCGAUGAGGAAAUUGACCCUCUGGAUGCUUUCAUGAACUCCAUGGUACUGCCUGAAGUGGAGAAGCUAAACAAAAUCGAGGCCCCCACAAUUAAUGACAAUAAAUUUGCAGAGUUGAAGAACAGAGACAAAUCAAGUGAUCAAAGUGGUGGUAAACCCCAAAGAAGAACUUCAAAUAAAUCAAUGGGUAGAAUAAUUCCUGGUGAAGAUUCUGACACAGACUAUGGAGAUCUUGAGAAUGAUGCAGAUACUGUAGAAGAUGAAGAUGAUGACGAGUUCAUGAAAAGGGUCAAGAAGACAAAGGCUGAGAAGCUCUCUAUUGUGGACCAUUCAAAGAUGGAUUAUCAACCUUUCCGAAAAAACUUCUAUAUUGAAGUGAAGGAGAUAACGAGGAUGACUUCUGAAGAAGUUGCUGCUUAUCGGAAGCAACUGGAAUUGAAGAUACACGGAAAGGAUGUUCCGAAGCCUGUUAAAACCUGGCAUCAAACUGGACUUACGAGUAAAACUUUAGAAAUGAUUAAAAAACUUAACUAUGAGAAGCCAAUGCCGAUACAAGCUCAGGCAUUGCCAAUAGUCAUGAGUGGUCGAGAUUGCAUAGGUAUUGCCAAAACUGGAUCUGGAAAAACACUUGCAUUUGUUCUUCCAAUGCUGAGGCAUAUCAAGGAUCAACUACCUGUUGUACCCGGUGAUGGUCCUAUCGGGCUUAUCAUGGCUCCUACCAGAGAGUUGGUCCAGCAGAUCCAUAGUGAUAUAAAGAAAUUUUCAAAGGUUCUGGGUCUAAGGUGUGUGCCUGUAUAUGGCGGUUCUGGCGUUGCCCAACAAAUUAGUGAGCUUAAGCGUGGCACUGAAAUAGUAGUUUGUACUCCUGGAAGGAUGAUUGAUAUACUCUGCACUAGUGCAGGGAAAAUAACAAAUCUGCGUAGAGUUACAUAUUUGGUUAUGGAUGAAGCUGAUAGGAUGUUUGACAUGGGUUUUGAACCUCAGAUUACUCGAAUUGUUCAAAAUAUUCGACCAGACCGUCAAACUGUACUAUUUUCUGCUACUUUUCCUCGUCAGGUUGAAAUUUUGGCCCGCAAAGUGUUGAACAAGCCUGUUGAAAUACAGGUUGGUGGAAGGAGUGUUGUGAAUAAGGACAUCACACAGCUGGUUGAAGUGAGACCCGAAAAUGAGAGGUUCUUGAGACUGUUAGAGCUAUUGGGAGAAUGGUAUGAGAAGGGCAAGAUUCUAAUUUUUGUCCAUUCACAGGAAAAAUGUGAUGCCCUUUUUAGGGAUCUCCUUAAGCAUGGUUACCCUUGCCUCUCACUCCAUGGAGCCAAGGAUCAGACUGAUCGUGAGUCUACCAUAUCGGAUUUCAAAAGCAAUGUGUGCAACUUGUUAAUUGCAACUAGUAUUGCUGCCAGGGGUUUAGAUGUCAAGGAGCUGGAGCUAGUGAUCAAUUUUGAUGUUCCAAACCACUAUGAAGAUUAUGUUCAUCGUGUUGGUCGCACAGGUCGAGCUGGUCGUAAAGGGUGCGCUAUCACAUUUAUUGCCGAGGAAGAUUCAAGAUAUGCACCAGAUCUUGUGAAAGCAUUGGAACUCUCCGAGCAAGUUGUUCCUAAUGAUCUGAGAGCACUUGCUGAUAGUUUCAUGGCAAAGGUUAAUCAGGGACUGGAGCAGGCCCAUGGAACUGGAUAUGGUGGCAGUGGAUUCAAAUUUAAUGAGGAAGAAGAUGAAGUGAGGAGGGCAGCAAAGAAAGCGCAAGCUAAAGAAUAUGGUUUUGAGGAGGACAAAUCAGAUUCAGAAGACGAAGAUGAUGGUGUCCGGAAGGCAGGUGGCGAUAUCUCACAGCAGGCAGCUUUGGCCCAAAUAGCUGCUAUAGCAGCUGCCACUAAAGUCAGUGCAGCUUCCAUCACAACUCCCAGCUCUGCUGCUCAGCUACUUCCAAAUGGCGGAUUACCCGUUUCUCUGCCCGGUGUUCUUGGGCUUGCAAUUCCAGGAACAACAGCAGUUAUUCCUGGUGCAACAUUGCCUGCAGUUGCUAAUGAUGGGGCCGCUGCAAGGGCAGCAUUAGCAGCUGCAAUGAACUUGCAGCACAACCUGGCCAAGAUUCAAGCUAGUGCAAUACCUGAACACUAUGAAGCAGAAUUGGAAAUUAACGAUUUUCCACAGAAUGCUCGAUGGAAGGUAACCCAUAAGGAGACUUUGGGCCCAAUUUCAGAGUGGACUGGAGCUGCUAUUACUACUAGGGGGCAGUUCUUCCCACCUGGCAAGAUUGCUGGACCUGGAGAGCGCAAGCUAUACUUGUUCAUUGAAGGUCCAACUGAACAAUCUGUUAAGAGAGCUAAAGCUGAGUUAAAACGCGUUCUUGAGGAUAUUACAAACCAAACAUUGUCACUUCCCGGUGGAUCACAACCAGGCAGAUACUCAGUUGUUUAAGUGUGAGAACUUGAUCUUUACUUUGAAGGCAUGGUUUACUUGAAUCCCUCUACUGCUGGAAAUAUGCACGUUUCACGUGCUUUUCCUCCUUUUCUUUUUUGCUGUUUUCAAAUUGAGAAACAAAAAAUCUAUUAGCUUAGCCAGGAGCGUUGUAUUCUCUCGAUUUCUAAUUCUUCUUAGCCUUCUAAUAUCUUGUAUAAUUUUGGCUUAGAUGUAAGAUAACAUUAAUAUACAUAUUUAAAUGUUCUCCUCUUUUGAUUUUUGUUCUGUUUUUCUUUUCCUAUGGUGCGAGGGAUGUUAUAUACCAUACCUAGAUCGCAUGUUCAAUAUUGUCUCUUCACUCUUACCUUGCAAUAGUGGCUAUCAGAUGCAAUUAUGGUGCGCCACCCUUUGCGUUUAAUUCAGAAUGCUGCCGCCAAUUGGUUUUCUUCCUUGAUCUUCGUGAUCUGAUUUUCAGCUGGGAUGUUGAAAGUCCUCAAGUUGGUGCCCUCAAGUUAUAGAAGGUCACGGUUAUCAUAUCUGGUUUAUGAAAUAAUUCAUAUCUUGAAUUGUUGAUCGCCCAUACAAGUAUUGUAUUUCAUAAUUUAAAUAUUUCCAGUUUUCAGAAUGUUGCCUUUUAUCUGAUCCUUAGAUUCUUAGACGUUUCUACCAAUUUGCUGUGCUUGUCAAGAAUCUCUAACCUCAUUGUGGUAGGCAAACUUGCGUAUUUUUGGGAUCCUAUCAUUUGUUGAAAUUGUUCUUUCCUUUC